UACGUAGGGGGCGAGCGUUGUCCGGAUUUAUUGGGCGUAAAGCGCGCGUAGGCGGCCCGUUAAGUCGGAUGUGAAAACCCGUGGCUCAACCACGGGCCUGCAUCCGAUACUGGCGGGCUCGAGGCAGGCAGGGGAGAUCGGAAGUUCCUGGUGUAGCGGUGAAAUGACGCAGAUAUCAGGAGGAACACCGGUGGCGAAGGCGGAUCUCUGGGCCUGUCCUGACGCUCAGGCGCGAAAGCUAGGGGAGCAAACAGG
rnacentral:rRNA from 1 species